rnacentral:rRNA from 1 species
CCUACGGGAGGCAGCAGUGAGGAAUAUUGGUCAAUGGGCGGAAGCCUGAACCAGCCAAGUAGCGUGCGGGAUGAAGGCCCUACGGGUCGUAAACCGCUUUUGCACGGGGAUAACACCCUCCACUUGUGGAGGUCUGCAGGUACCGUACGAAUAAGGGCCGGCUAAUUCCGUGCCAGCAGCCGCGGUAAUACGGAAGGCCCGAGCGUUAUCCGGAUUCAUUGGGCUUAAAGGGAGCGUAGGCGGGCCGUCAAGUCAGCGGUGAAAGUCUGCGGCCCAAACCGGGCCCCGCAGUUGAAACUGGAAGCCUUGAGUUCACAACAGGCAGGCGGAAUUCGUGGUGUAGCGGUGAAAUGCAUAGAUAUCACGAGGAACCCCGAUUGCGAAGGCAGCCUGCCGGGGUGCGACUGACGCUGAGGCUCGAAGGUGCGGGUAUCAAACAGGAUUAGAUACCCCUGUAGUC